AUGAAAACAAGGAAGACAUUUAGAGUCUUUUCCUAAAAAUGAAAAACAGUUAAACAUUCAUUGCUCAUUAUUCUACAACUUCUAUCAUAGAAAUAUUUCAAUUAGUCCUCUGUAAAACCCGGUAAUUAAGCCUAAUUAUUACGAAAAUAUCCCGCUAAAUAAAAAUUAAGCUAUGGAAUUUCCUACUCCUAAAUUGAUAUGCGAGGACUAUCAACAACAGUCUUCUAAUAUCUGAGUGUUGUGAAGUUUAACUUAUAAAACUCAAACUCCAUGGGUCAGUUUUGUGAAUUUGCGUCUUUUAAUUAUGUUGUAAAUUCAUUGAAUACCAAAAGUGAUGACUUGUACUCAACUUGAACUUAAGUUCGUAUUUAGAAUACUUUCCUCUUGACUUGAUCUCACAAUCAAAGACUCGGGAAUAGACUUGGACUCAAUAGCUGGUUUAUACUGAACUCAAUAAAAGCCUACCCUCUAUAGAAACUAUAUUAUAAUUAUAGACUUAAAAUGGCUCAAAAGAAAUCUGAGGAAUCGAUAAAAAUAUUCAAGGAGUUAGACUUGUUUAUUUAGCUCCUAGAUAUAACACAACGGAAAUAAAUCCGAUAUCAGCCGGUAGAGAAUCCAUAGCAAGUUCAGUCAUUUCCUGCAUUUUACGACCACAGCCAUGGGUAAUAUGAAAUAGUGUUUCCUCAACUUCUUCACAAAGUCGAAAGAUUGGACUCAGUAACCCUUUUUAAAAAGAUGUCUAUCAAGUUUUAGGUGGCCACUAUACUUGAGAUUUGAUGUCUCAUAUAACUUGGACUUGUGAAUAAACACUUGAGACUUAACUUGGGCUUACAAUAUAAGGAUUUUUUCCCAAUUCUGUUUACUACUAUUCACCUUUCAACAAGGACUACUCUUAACAUUAGUUUUCAUGUUGCCUAAAUUAUUUAGACUUAUAAUAGGAUCCUAUGAUUUUGACUCGAAAUCUGUAAUACAGGUAACAAACAUCAAAUCUAAUUUGUAUUUCAUCUCUCCCAGGAUCAUGAGACAGGAGAGACUAGGGUAAGUUGAGGAGUGGGAUAAGAUGAUCACCCUGUCUUUACUCGCUUCCUUUAUAUAUUUUUUUAGCUGACUCCUCCAGGGAGUUGUUUAUCCAUGAUAUUAUCAUAUAGUUUUAAUUCCUUUGGCCUCUCUCUUUAUGUUUACAAAUUGUUCGAAGUGACUGAACGCAUCAAUUGUAAGUAAAAUCAGUGAACUUUAGGUUAGGUACUUCGUAUGUGCUCGUGUUUAUAUCAAACAUAAAUAUAUUUAAAAUACUAUAUCCAUUUGCUCAUGGCAUUAUUACAUUAGCUUGCAUGUAAAAUAUGGAAUUUUAGCACACCGAAGGCAGAGUUUAAACAUGGCAGAGGUGCGAUAACUUAAUCAACUUCGAAAGAUUUUUAGCCGUAUAACAGACAAACAAUAUUUUAUCCUAGACAAUAACGACAAGGUUACGUUCCAGAAACAAGACAUUUUAGUAAAACUUCAUUUUCCUUGUGUUGUUAAUGAAUUAGCUCACUUUUUCGCGUUAUUUGGAACUAUGGAACAUUAACUGAUUAAUCCUAUCCAAUAGUUAGAGAUUAAAAUAGCAAAAGCAUUCAUCAUUUUAAAAUUAUUUAUUUAUUACUAUGUGACUAGUUAUAUGUUUUUUUUUUUAGAAAUGAUCAUAUUACCCAAACAUAGUUGUCAACUUACCUCUAUCAUGGGGCAAGUUAAGCAUUUUUUACAUCUGUACAGAGACAUUAUAUACUUAUAGUACGAAAAUCUUUAUGGUGAUAUUGAUUUGAAUAGGCUACAUAUAUUCAUCAAUUAUUUUUUUAAUAAAUUUGUGGGAGAAAAAAAAAAAAAUAAAGACCACUGAACGUACUUGCAAAAACCUGGUCAACUUACCCUAGCUUAUUAUUUCUUAUUUUAUUUCUGAUGAAAUUCGUAAUAAAUUAGAGUGUUUUUAUCCCAGAUUUGAAGUUACUCCUAUAGACUAGUCAAUUUACAAAAAUUCUAAUUUAAAUUGUAUUUUUUCAAAAUAUUUAUGCAUAUUAUAUUUAUUGUAUAUUGAUAUUUGGAAAUAAAUGUUUGUAAUGUUUCAUGAAUUUCUUUUAUCUUAAAUAGCGAGAUCCAAAUUAGGUAUGAAUUUACCCUAAGGGAAAAUUUAGAGUUUAAAAAGAUAAUUUUUUUCUCCACAUAUUUGAGUUGAUUUUCUUUUGAAAUUCAAAUUUACUUAUUUACAAAAACCAAACUGUUACUGAAACUUGUAUCAUGUAAUUACAGUAUACAUUACUUGACAGGGAAGAUUGCAUUGCUGAAGUAUUGAGAAUAUCAAAGGUAGAUAGUCUUACCCUUCGAUAUAUAAUUUAUUAAUCUUAUAAAUUCAGAUAUAAUUUUAGUUUAGUUAAUACUAUAUUGCUUAUUUUACAAUAUAUUAUUUUAUUUAUUAAACGAAUUUGAAUAUUUGCUAGAAAAAGAUUAUCAUCAAUUAGUUAAUAUUAGUGUUUGGGCUCAAUUUUAACAAUAAAUAGUUGACAUAUUAGGUUUUGAUUUACAGAAUUAAAUCUUAAAACCUUAGGAAAUUAAUAUAUAAACUAAGGAUUGUUAGUUCCAAUUCCCGCCCACACUCUGUAGUUAUAUAACUAAAUUAACCUAGACUAAUAUACACAAUAAAAUUACUUAUUUACAUCUCAAUAUAGCACAUCCUUACCUUUACUGUAUCAUGCAGUCUUUCCUCUAAAAAUAAAGAAAGAAAAAUCCUAAAAUCAUCUAAUAGUUAGCCAAAUAAGUCAAUCACACCAACUGCUAUUUAUCUCUUAUAUACUCCCAGACUAUCACCGUCAUAUUAUAUCUCAUCAUUUUUAAAAGGAAUUACAUAUUUUAAAAAUCUUCAUAGUAUUUUAUUCGAUACUGAAUUAUAAUAUUGCUAAGUAAUACUUUAUUAAAAGUGAAGUUAUUCAUAUAUGGUAGCCAAAGUAUAUUCAUAAAAAUAAUAAAAUGGUCAAUAUAUACGAUUUUAGGAAUAAAUGUCAACGGUAAAAAUGCCAAGAUUCUUUUAAACUGAUAUAAUAUCUAUCACCAAUAUAAUAUAUAAUAAGAGAAAAGAAAAAUAAACAAACACAACGGCGGUUGCAAUGGAAGGACUAUUAAUAACUUAAUUCUCUGUUAUUAAUUACAAUAUCCUUAGACAUGAUGGACUAUUCAUAUUGGACAAGACUCUUGGAUUGACGGACAAGCAUUUGCAAAAUACUAUGCAAGAGCAGCGAUUUCUACUUCGUUAUGAUCCAGGAUGUGUCAGAAGAAAAGUUGGUUUGCUGUGGAGCGACAAACCAUGAGAGGAUUUGGGCUGGUAGUCAAAGGUCGAGUCGUUGGAGAGUACGAGGAAAACUGUAAAACUCAGUACAGUUGGAGCAAUCUGAAAUUGCAAUAGAACGAUGGUCUUCGUCUCUUCAUAAACCUUCUGUCUUUCAUAAAGAGAACGAAACAGGCUCCAUUAUGUAGUUAUCUAAAGGACUCGAAUUCUCGAAGUUGUUUAUCAUAAUUCCAAUGUAUCAAGCCAAGUAUGAGAACCAUAAAAAGUGACUUAUAGGCUCUUUCAACGAAUUUUUAUGUGUAUUUUUCUAGUAUGAUAUAAUGACAUUUGAAUAUGUAACUACGUUUGUAUUAAAUAAUAAUAGUAUUCAGUGAUAUUUAUCAAAGAAUAUUAAUAUUAUAGCUCUAUAUAUUCAUUCAUUUCAAUUUAGAAUGAGACUCCAGCUCCAAUUUCACUAACUUAUAAAACAAAUAUUAAUGUAAACUCCUUUGUCAAUGGUUAAUUCCAUCAAUUAAUUGAUUUAUUAAAUAAAUUUAAAUACAUAUUU
rnacentral:lncRNA from 1 species